ACCGGGGGCGGGCUGCCAGGCCAGGGGCGCUCCGGCUUCUCCGUCCCUAAGGAAAACGUCAAGAUCCCUUCUAAGAAUCCGGGGAGGUCCCGAAGGCUGACAGGCUUCUCUUGGGGCUUCCACGCUCGCAGUGAGGCGAGAGCUGUGUCAAAGCCGGAGGUGCAGGCGCCAGCCGUUCGCUCAGACGAAACCGGAAAUACCUCCCUCACCUCCACCGGGACCCAUCGCUCUGUAAGCACUUCCACCAUCUUCCUCUCCAAGCCCUCCCCCACCCCACUCCACCCCCUCCAAAAAAAAAAAAAAAGAACUUCCGCGAACACACGAACCUCCGGGAAGACGAGAGACCGUCCAAAACGUAGCUAUUAAACGGAGCUGGAAAGAGACGCGAGGCUGGAGCAGUUUCAUACGCAAGAUGGCCGCCACCUCUAGGAUUACCCAUGCAGCACCGCGGGCUCACGCCCGGCAUUAUGGGGAUUGAAGUCCGGCGUCCCGCAGUCCUCGUUUACCUCAAGGCACCGAAACUCAGUGUUCCAGAGUCCAUUGCAAGACUUACAAGCUAUUUUGGCCACCAACGUAGACUCAGUCUUGUUCCCCGCCCUGUAGUGGGGGGAAGUUUCUUAAAGAAACAUCACCUUUAUCUAUAAAGGCAGCGACGUCCUCUGGGGUUCACGACUCAAAAAGAACAAGAGUGCUUGGCGCCCCCAGGUGGAUGGACGCGCAAGCCUCUGUGGUGAGUGAACAGUUUUCAGGCUUUUCAGGAGACAAAAGAAUCAGCCUAGGCUUCAAAGGGGAAAACAUUUUGUGUAACAGAACUCAGUUGCUAUGGUUUCUCAGAAACACCAUUUAGUAUAAUUUUAAGCUUCUGAACAACUGUGGCAAAAUAGAGUGCCUGCACCUCAGAACCCCAUAACAGAUGACUCUUGGGGAGAAGAAAUUAUAAAGUAUCUUACUUCCAGAUAUAGGAAAACUGCUAUAUAAAUAUGUAUUGAAUUAAAACUAAAUACCAACC
rnacentral:lncRNA from 1 species